rnacentral:rRNA from 1 species
UACGUAGGGUGCGGGCGUGUCCGGAAUUAUUGGGCGUAAAGAGCUUGUAGGUGGCUCGUUGCGUCGGGAGUGAAAACCUGCGGCUUAACCGCAGGCCUGCUUCCGAUACGGGCGAGCUAGAGUUCGGCAGGGGAGACUGGAAUUCCUGGUGUAGCGGUGGAAUGCGCAGAUAUCAGGAGGAACACCGGUGGCGAAGGCGGGUCUCUGGGCCGAUACUGACACUGAGAAGCGAAAGCGUGGGGAGCGAACAGG